CAGCAGCCACGGUAAGACGUAGGAUGCAAGCGUUGUCCGGAUUUAUUGGGCGUAAAGGGCUCGCAGGCGGUUUCUUAAGUCUGAUGUGAAAGCCCCCGGCUCAACCGGGGAGGGUCAUUGGAAACUGGGAAACUUGAGUGCAGAAGAGGAGAGUGGAAUUCCACGUGUAGCGGUGAAAUGCGUAGGGAUGUGGAGGAACACCAGUGGCGAAGGCGACUCUCUGGUCUGUAACUGACGCUGAGGAGCGAAAGCGUGGGGAGCGAACAGGAUUAGAUACCCCCGUAGUCCCUGUCUCUUAUAC
rnacentral:rRNA from 1 species